GUGAUUGACUUUCCAUAACACUUAGAAUAGUGCCAAAUGUCUACCAUUUGUCUUCAGUUACUAAGUUCCAUUAUAUUCAAGCCUGCCAUGGAUUUGAGAUUCAAUUCAUUUGACUUGUCCAUGGAUAUUUGUAUAUCUAUGUAACUCUUUUAACUUCUUUCUUAAGAAAUUUUUAAGGUUUGGUUUGGUUUGCUUUAGGAACUUGUUAUGCAUAGACAUGCAGUGGUUUGUAUUAACUGUCAAUAUGCCAUUUUCUUGAUAUAACCUUGACAUUUCCCAGACAAAUUCUGCACAUAGCAAGUAUAUAAUUAUUUUCAUCCUGUCCAUGGUCCUUAUAAAAUUGAUUCCAGAGUAGGAUUGCCUUGUGAAAUUUCUUUGAUGUGUGGGUCUAAUGACUGAGCCUGAAGUAUUUUCUGGUUGGACAGCUUUUGGCAAGAGAUUUAUCUCUUCAUCCUGUAAAUUUCAGGGUCUUUUUGCUUAUAAAUUCACAAGCAACUUUCUUUUCUAAACAAUGUUUAAAAAUCUUUUACAAAAAUGGUAAAAGGUUUUUGUUACCUCUGUUUUUGCAGCCUGAUAACUUGGUUAAUCUACAUAUUUGCAAGAACUGAUAAAACAAAUUUUACCUUUUCCAGAAGAUGUAAUUUGACAUCAUUGUUUAUUUAUUUUGGUUUUUGCAGUGGAAUUUAAUUUGAAUUUUUUCGGCCAUCAUAAGACACCUUUUCACUGCUUAUAGUUGAUAAAUGAUAUAAUAGGCGUUAUAUAUUAACUUUGACCAACUGCAUAUCCCCCACCAAGAUCUCUUCUUGGCAGGGAAGGGGUAUGCAGUUGUUUUCUUAAAGCCCUUAUUUGGAGAAAUUUUGGAGACCUGUUCAUGGAAUUUGCUGCUUUCUAUUGACCAUGGCCAUGAUGGUUGAUGCUUUUGCUCUAGAAUCUAGAGGGACGGUCAAGGUCAAAUAACUGAUAUAUGAUAGUGGCUUGGAGAGUUGAUGUUGCAAAUUCCCUGGUAAACUUUGGGGGGGCCAUUGUGAGUUGCUUUCACUGGUGGGCUUUGUUUGUCUUGCACCGUGUUAUUGAAUAAUGUGGGGGUAACAACUAGUACUGCUGCUUGUGACCCGACAGCCCAGCUGAUAUCAACAGCUAGCUAUAAUCACAAGCAGCAGU
rnacentral:misc_RNA from 1 species